GGCCACUUGGCGCAAUGGUAGCGCGUUGGGCUUCGACUGCUCAACGGAUACCCAAAGGCUGCAGGUUCGAGCCCUGCAGUGGUCA
rnacentral:tRNA from 2 species